rnacentral:rRNA from 1 species
UACAGAGGUCUCAAGCGUUGUUCGGAUUCAUUGGGCGUAAAGGGUGCGUAGGCGGCGCGGUAAGUCGGGUGUGAAAUCUUGGAGCUUAACUCCUAAACUGCAUUCGAUACUGCCGUGCUUGAGGACUGGAGAGGAGACUGGAAUUUACGGUGUAGCGGUGAAAUGCGUAGAUAUCGUAAGGAAGACCAGUGGCGAAGGCGGGUCUCUGGACAGUUCCUGACGCUGAGGCACGAAGGCCAGGGGAGCAAACGGG